rnacentral:rRNA from 1 species
AUUGAACGCUGGCGGCAUGCCUUACACAUGCAAGUCGAACGGUAACGCGGGGCAACCUGGCGACGAGUGGCGAACGGGUGAGUAAUGCAUCGGAACGUGCCCAGUAGUGGGGGAUAGCCCGGCGAAAGCCGGAUUAAUACCGCAUACGACCUACGGGUGAAAGCGGGGGACCGUAAGGCCUCGCGCUAUUGGAGCGGCCGAUGUCAGAUUAGGUUGUUGGUGGGGUAAAAGCCUACCAAGCCGGCGAUCUGUAGCUGGUCUGAGAGGACGACCAGCCACACUGGGACGGAGACACGGCCCAGACUCCUACGGGAGGCAGCAGUGGGGAAUUUUGGACAAUGGGGGCAACCCUGAUCCAGCCAUGCCGCGUGCGGGAAGAAGGCCUUCGGGUUGUAAACCGCUUUUGUCAGGGAAGAAACGCUCUGGGCUAAUACCCCGGGGUAAUGACGGUACCUGAAGAAUAAGCACCGGCUAACUACGUGCCAGCAGCCGCAGUAAUAC